rnacentral:pre_miRNA from 1 species
UUGGUACUCCCUCCGUUCGGAAUUACUUGUCGCGGAAAUGAAUGUAUCUAGACAUAUUUUAGUUCUAGAUACAUCCAUUUCCGAGACAAGUAAUUCCAAACGGAGGGAGUACUAA